GUGAAUCAUCGAAUCUUUGAACGCACAUUGCGCCCCUCGGUAUUCCGGGGGGCAUGCUUGUUCGAGCGUCAUUACACCCCUCCAGCCUCGCUGGGUCUUGGGCGUCGCGGUCCGCCGCGCGCCUCAAUGUCGCCGGCCGGUGCGCCUGUCCCCGAGCGUCGUGACUUCUCAGUUCGCUCGUCGGGUCGCAGGGGCGUCGCGCCGUGAAACACCUCUUUUCAGGUUGACCUCGGAUCAAGUAGGGAUACCCGCUGAACUUAAGCAUAUCAAUAAGCGGAGGA
rnacentral:misc_RNA from 1 species